GGGGAAUUUUGGACAAUGGGGGCAACCCUGAUCCAGCCAUGCCGCGUGUCUGAAGAAGGCCUUCGGGUUGUAAAGGACUUUUGUCAGGGAGGAAAUCCCUAAGGUUAAUACCCUUGGGGGAUGACAGUACCUGAAGAAUAAGCACCGGCUAACUACGUGCCAGCAGCCGCGGUAAUACGUAGGGUGCAAGCGUUAAUCGGAAUUACUGGGCGUAAAGCGUGCGCAGGCGGUCUGAAAAGUCAGCUGUGAAAGCCCCGGGCUCAACCUGGGAACUGCGGUUGAAACUCUCAAGCUAGAGUGCGUCAGAGGGGGGUGGAACUCCACGUGUAGCAGUGAAAUGCGUAGAGAUGUGGAGGAACACCAAUGGCGAAGGCAGCCCCCUGGGAUGACACUGACGCUCAUGCACGAAAGCGUGGGGAGCAAAC
rnacentral:rRNA from 1 species